CCCUUAGAUGUUCUGGGCGGCCCGCGCACUACAUUGGCACUAGCAAAGAGAUCCUAGAUUGAAUUCUUUGGGGUAUUCUUCUAAAUGGUGUCGUGACUGGGAUAAAUCCUUGUAAUUAUUGGUUUUGAACGAGGAAUUCCUUGUAAUCGCGGCUUAUCAGCUCGCGUUGAAUGCGUCCCUGCCCUUUGUACACACCGCCCGUCGCUCCUACCGAUGGAUCGUCCGGUGAAGCUCACGGAGUGACUGUUCACGCAACGGUUUACGAAGUGAAAUGGACCUCACGAUUUAGAGGAAGGAGAAGUCGUAACA
rnacentral:rRNA from 1 species